UGGGGAAUAUUGCGCAAUGGGCGAAAGCCUGACGCAGCGACGCCGCGUGAGGGAUGAAGGUUUUCGGAUCGUAAACCUCUGUCAGAAGGGAAGAAACCGCACUGUGCUAAUCAGCAGUGCCUUGACGGUACCUUCAAAGGAAGCACCGGCUAACUCCGUGCCAGCAGCCGCGGUAAUACGGAGGGUGCAAGCGUUAAUCGGAAUUACUGGGCGUAAAGCGCACGUAGGCUGCUUUGUAAGUCAGGGGUGAAAUCCCACGGCUCAACCGUGGAACUGCCUUUGAGACUGCUUAGCUUGAAUCCGGGAGAGGGUGGCGGAAUUCCAGGUGUAGGAGUGAAAUCCGUAGAUAUCUGGAGGAACAUCAGUGGCGAAGGCGGCAACCUGGACCGGUAUUGACGCUGAGGUGCGAAAGCGUGGGGAGCAAACAGG
rnacentral:rRNA from 1 species